GUCGUGAGAUGUACCGUUAAGUCGGGUAACGAGCGCAACCCCCGUCCCAUGUUGUUUUUUCAUGGGAGACCGCCUCGGAUAACGGGGAGGAAGGUGGGGAUGACGUCAAAUCAGCAUGGCUCUUACACCUAGGGCUACACACGUGCUACAAUGGCUAUGACAAUGGGCUGCCAAGUCGUAAGACGGAGCUAAUCCCACCAAACAUAGCCCCAGUUCGGAUUGAGGGCUGAAAUUCGCCCUCAUGAAGCCGGAUUUGCUAGUAAACGCGUAUCAGCAUCGGCGCGUUGAAUACGUUCUCGGGUCUUGUACUCACCGCCCGUCACAUCAAGAGAGUUGUAUAUGCCCGAAGGCCCCGAUGAGGGGACGAAGGUAGAGACAGCGAUAGGGAUGAAGUCGUAACAAGGCAUCCGUAGCGGAAGCUGUGGAUGGAUCACCUCCUUU
rnacentral:rRNA from 1 species